AUUGAACGCUGGCGGCAGGCCUAACACAUGCAAGUCGAACGGUAGCACAGAGAGCUUGCUCUCGGGUGACGAGUGGCGGACGGGUGAGUAACGUCUGGGAAACUGCCCGAUGGAGGGGGAUAACUACUGGAAACGGUAGCUAAUACCGCAGAACGUCGCAAGACCAAAGUGGGGGACCUUCGGGCCUCACACCAUCCGAUGUGCCCAGGUGGGAUUAGCGAGUAGGUGGGGUAAUGGCUCACCUAGGCGACGAUCCCUAGCUGGUCUGAGAGGAUGACCAGCCACACUGGAACUGAGACACGGUCCAGACUCCUACGGGAGGCAGCAGUGGGGAAUAUUGCACAAUGGGCGCAAGCCUGAUGCAGCCAUGCCGCGUGUAUGAAGAAGGCCUUCGGGUUGUAAAGUACUUUCAGCGGGGAGGAAGGCGGUGAAGUUAACAGCUUCACCGAUUGACGUUACCCGCAGAAGAAGCACCGGCUAACUCCGUGCCAGCCGCCGCCGUAA
rnacentral:rRNA from 1 species